UACGAAGGGGGCUAGCGUUGCUCGGAAUUACUGGGCGUAAAGGGCGCGUAGGCGGAUAGUUUAGUCAGAGGUGAAAGCCCAGGGCUCAACCUUGGAAUUGCCUUUGAUACUGGCUAUCUUGAGUUCGGGAGAGGUGAGUGGAAUGCCGAGUGUAGAGGUGAAAUUCGUAGAUAUUCGGCGGAACACCAGUGGCGAAGGCGACUCACUGGCCCGAUACUGACGCUGAGGCGCGAAAGCGUGGGGAGCGAUCCGG
rnacentral:rRNA from 1 species